UAUUAGGUUGGUGCAAAAGUAAUUGCAGUUUUUGCCAUUACUUUUAGUGUCAAAAACUGCAAUUACUUUUGCACCAACCU
rnacentral:miRNA from 1 species